rnacentral:rRNA from 1 species
GAUGAACGCUGGCGGCGUGCUUAACACAUGCAAGUCGAACGGUGAAGGCGGAGCUUGCUCUGCUGGAUCAGUGGCGAACGGGUGAGUAACACGUGAGCAAUCUGCCCCUGACUCUGGGAUAAGCGCUGGAAACGGCGUCUAAUACUGGAUACGAGCUGCGAAGGCAUCUUCAGCAGCUGGAAAGAACUUCGGUCAGGGAUGAGCUCGCGGCCUAUCAGCUUGUUGGUGAGGUAACGGCUCACCAAGGCGUCGACGGGUAGCCGGCCUGAGAGGGUGACCGGCCACACUGGGACUGAGACACGGCCCAGACUCCUACGGGAGGCAGCAGUGGGGAAUAUUGCACAAUGGGCGAAAGCCUGAUGCAGUAACGCCGCGUGAGGGACGACGGCCUGCGGGUUGUAAACCUCUUUUAGCAGGGAAGAAGCGAAAGUGACGGUACCUGCAGAAAAAGCGCCGGCUAACUACGUG